rnacentral:tRNA from 1 species
GGGCGAUUGGCUCAGUUGGUUAGAGCGUCACAUUCACAUUGUGAAGGUCAGAGGUUCAAGUCCUCUAUCGCCCA